CUGUCAGUUAUUUAUUCUGUUUCUAUUCUUACAUAUAUUUGAAAAUAUUUUUAUUAUAAGAUAUUAGAUAGAGAUAUUUCGGAAAUGCCACUUUUUGCAAGACUCCCGUAUGUCGACCAUUGUUGCUGUCUGCCCUUGAAAACCGGGUGUAUUAUCAUCGGUAUCUGGUAUCUACUGACUGGUGGAGCUGUUGGACAUCAUGUCGUGUUCACCGAUGAUUACACCAACGUGAAAAUGGUUCUAUUUGAUACAGACAUUGAAUGGAGCAGUCAAAAGUACAUGUGCUUUGAGUGGAUUGGUGACAAAGAUUGUCCUCAAAGUGAUUUUGCUGGCAUUGUAUUUAAAACAAUCAUACUAUUUCUCGACGGUUUGUUAAUGUGCGCCAGCGCUGUUUUGCUAGUGGGAAUAUUUUUGAUCACAGACCUGGGUUGUUCGAUAUUUCUGUACAUCUUCCUUCUUUCGAGAAUCUUUGACGUGUUUGUGCUCCUGACUUUCCUUGCUAUGGGGAUAGUAAGCAAUUGCAAGACUACCGGGCUAUCCAGACUCUGCUGUGCAAUAACUAUUGUCAUUUGCGUCGCUGUGGGAGUGUACGUCCUAAUAGUUGUGAAAAGCUUUAGAUCGGCUAUAAGACGGUGGAACGCUUCGAUUGUGCAGCCCAAGUCUUACUGCGAACGCCCAGCGCCCAGGGGACACUCUCACGUACACAUUUGAUUUUCAACCACAUUAAUAACAAUAAAAUGGCUGCCGUCCUCAGCUUUAUUUACACAUAUAAUAUAGAAUUCAUUAAAAUUAAUGAGGAUCACAUGAAACAAUAUCACUACACAAGGGAACAGUAUUUACUGUUCCCUUGUGUAGUGAUAUUGUUUCAUGCAUAUACAUAAACAAAACUCCGAA